AUAUUAUAUAAAUUGUUAUACAAUUAUAUUUGUUUUUGGCUAUGAAAAAUAAUUUUUUUGCUAAAGUAAUUUUUAAUAAAAAAGCAAGCCUGACUAUAGACAAUAAGUACUGUAAAGGAACUUGUUACUAAUUCAUGAGAGUUAAAAUAGUAAUUAUAAUAAGGUGUACCUCGUGUAUUAGGGAUAAUCAAUAUAACCUAGUGAAUUUUUAGGAUUCUCGAAAUAAAAAUAGUUAAUUUUGUAUAAUUUUUUUUUGUAAAAUAAAAAUGUUAAAUAUAAAAUUAGAAGUGAAAUGCUAUCCGAGUUUUAUAAUAUCUAGUUUUUCUAUAAAUAAAUUUAAUUUAACCCUUAAAGUUACAUAUCUAUAAGGUUAAAGUGUAGGAGGGAUUAGCUUCUUGCAUCUAGUAUUUUAAAUAGUUAAUUAUAAUUUAUAUUUGCUUUAAUUAGGCUUAAAAGUAGCUAAAUUAGUAAUGUGUUUUAAUUAAAUUUUAACCGGAAAAAUAUUUUUAAUUGCUUUUAUGAUUAGAUAUAGAAAGACUUCAUUAAAUUUCUAAAUAAAGGACAAAAUGGUUUUAUUAGUAAAUUUUACGUUUAGCAACUAUUUAAUUACAAUAUUAAGAGUAAUAUAAAUAAUGUUUGAAAGUAUAAAGGAACUCGGCAAAUAAUUUUCUCGCCUGUUUAUCAAAAACAUGUCUAUUUGAAGAUAUAAAAAGUCCGACCUGCCCACUGAUACUAUUUUAAAGGGCCGCGGUAUUCUGACCGUGCAAAGGUAGCAUAAUAGUUAGGUCUUUAAUUGAGAUCUUGUAUGAAUGGUUUGACGAAGAAAAAGCUGUCUUUAUGCUUACUUAUUGAAUUUAACUUUUAAGUGAAAAGGCUUAAAUGAAUUAAGGGGACGAUAAGACCCUAUAAAACUUUAUAUAAUAUCUAUACUUAACUAAAUUAUUAUUUUAUAAAAGUUAAUUGAAGAUUUUAUAUUAUGUUGGGGCGACAAAGAUAAAAAUUAUAGUAACUGUUUAACGAUUAGACAAAUAUUUUUGAUUAUAAUUUUAGAUGAUCCUGUUUAAAGAUUAAAAGUUUAAGUUACUUUAGGGAUAACAGCGUUAUUUUUUUUGAGAGUUCUUAUCGAAAAAAGAGUUUGCGACCUCGAUGUUGAAUUAAAAUUUCUA
rnacentral:rRNA from 1 species